rnacentral:rRNA from 1 species
CUACGUGCCAGCAGCCGCGGUAAUACGGAAGGUCCUGGUGUUAUCCGGAUUUAUUGGGUUUAAAGGGAGCGUAGGCCGCAGAUUAAGUGUGUUGUGAAAUUCAGGCGCCCAACGUCUGACUUGCAGCGCAAACUGGUCUGCUUGAGUUCGCGCAACGCAGGCGGAAUUCGUCGUGUAGCGGUGAAAUGCUUAGAUAUGACGAAGAACUCCGAUUGCGAAGGCAGCUUGCGGGAGCGUUACUGACGCUGAAGCUCGAAAGUGCGGGUAUCGAACAGGAUUAGAUACCCUGGUAGUCCGCACGGUAAACGAUGGAUGCCCGUUUUUGGCUUUUAAAGUCAGAGACCAAGCGAAAGCAUUAAGCAUCCCACCUGGGGAGUACGCCGGCAACGGUGAAACUCAAAGGAAUUGACGGGGGCCCGCACAAGCGGAGGAACAUGUGGUUUAAUUCGAUGAUACGCGAGGAACCUUACCCGGGCUUGAA